rnacentral:tRNA from 1 species
GCCCUGUUGGUCCAGUGGUUAGGACUCUGCACUCUCGCUGCUGAGGGCCUGGGUUCAAUCCCUGGGAGGGGA